rnacentral:tRNA from 1 species
GUCGGAAUAGCUCAGUG